rnacentral:rRNA from 3 species
CGCCGCCCACGACACUGCGAGAAGUCCAUUGAACCUUAUCAUUUAGAGGAAGGAGAAGUCGUAACAAGGUUUCCGUAGGUGAACCUGCGGAAGGAUCAUUG